AAUGAGAUAGCUGGGUCAAAUGGUUGUUCCAUUCCCAGUUUUCUGAGGAAUCUCCACGCUGCUUUUCAGAGUAGUUAUACCAACUUGCAGUCCCACCAGCAAU
rnacentral:pre_miRNA from 1 species